CCUACGGGAGGCAGCAGUGGGGAAUAUUGGACAAUGGGGGGAACCCUGAUCCAGCCAUGCCGCGUGUGUGAAGAAGGCCUUAUGGUUGUAAAGCACUUUAAGCGAGGAGGAGGCUACUAGUAUUAAUACUACUGGAUAGUGGACGUUACUCGCAGAAUAAGCACCGGCUAACUCUGUGCCAGCAGCCGCGGUAAUACAGAGGGUGCGAGCGUUAAUCGGAUUUACUGGGCGUAAAGCGUGCGUAGGCGGCCAUUUAAGUCAAAUGUGAAAUCCCCGAGCUUAACUUGGGAAUUGCAUUCGAUACUGGAUGGCUAGAGUAUGGGAGAGGAUGGUAGAAUUCCAGGUGUAGCGGUGAAAUGCGUAGAGAUCUGGAGGAAUACCGAUGGCGAAGGCAGCCAUCUGGCCUAAUACUGACGCUGAGGUACGAAAGCAUGGGGAGCAAACAGGAUUAGAUACCCUGGUAGUCCAUGCCGUAAACGAUGUCUACUAGCCGUUGGGGCCUUUGAGGCUUUAGUGGCGCAGCUAACGCGAUAAGUAGACCGCCUGGGGAGUACGGUCGCAAGACUAAAACUCAAAGGAAUUGACGG
rnacentral:rRNA from 1 species